rnacentral:rRNA from 1 species
AGAACGAACGCUGGCGGCAGGCUUAACACACGCAAGUCGAGCGAUCGCAGCAAUGCGGGAGCGGCAGACGGGUGAGUAACGCGUGGGAACGUACCCUCCGGUUCGGAAUAACUCAGGGAAACUUGAGCUAAUACCGGAUACGGUCGAGAGGCGAAAGAUUCAUCGCCGGAGGAUCGGCCCGCGUUCGAUUAGCUAGUUGGCGGGGUAAUGGCCCACCAAGGCGACGAUCGAUAGCUGGUCUGAGAGGAUGAUCAGCCACAUUGGGACUGAGACACGGCCCAAACUCCUACGGGAGGCAGCAGUGGGAAUAUUGGACAAUGGGCGCAAGCCUGAUCCAGCCAUGCCGCGUGAGUGAUGACGGCCUUAGGGUUGUAAAGCUCUUUCGCUAGGGACGAUAAUGACGGUACCUAGACAAGAAGCCCCGGCUAACUUCGUGCCAGCAGCCGC